UACGGAGGGUGCAAGCGUUAUCCGGAUUCACUGGGUUUAAAGGGUGCGUAGGUGGGCAGGUAAGUCAGUGGUGAAAUCUCCGGGCUUAACCCGGAAACUGCCAUUGAUACUAUCAGUCUUGAAUACCGUGGAGGUAAGCGGAAUAUGUCAUGUAGCGGUGAAAUGCUUAGAUAUGACAUAGAACACCGAUAGCGUAGGCAGCUUGCUACACGAAUAUUGACACUGAGGCACGAAAGCGUGGGGAUCAAACAGG
rnacentral:rRNA from 1 species